rnacentral:rRNA from 1 species
GACGAAGGGGCUAGCGUUGUUCGGAAUUACUGGGCGUAAAGCGCGUGUAGGCGGUUGUUCAAGUCAGGUGUGAAAGCCUUGAGCUCAACUCAAGAAAUGCACUUGAUACUGGAUAACUAGAGGACCGGAGAGGAUAGUGGAAUUCCCAGUGUAGUGGUGAAAUACGUAGAGAUUGGGAAGAACACCAGUGGCGAAGGCGGCUAUCUGGACGGUGACUGACGCUGAGGCGCGAAAGCGUGGGGAGCAAACGGG